rnacentral:lncRNA from 1 species
GAACUGCCUCAGAGCCUUGACUUGGAAAAGCAGGAGACCUUCACAUUUGCAUCAAAUAAACACAAUCUCUCUCUUUCCUGUCUGGGCUACAGGAAAGACUUCAGAUUCCCUCUGGAGCAGGUGAGUGGCAGCCAGCUCCAGAGGCCCAGGCCUUCUCUGUGCUCCACGAGAUGUUCCAGCAGAGCUUCAACCUCUUCCACACAGAGUGCUCCUCUGCUGCCUGGGACACAACCCUCCUGGAGCAUCUCCACACUGGACUCCAUCAUCAGCUGGACGACCUUGACGCCUGCCUGGGGCAGGUGAUGGAAGAGGAAGACUCUGCCCUGGGAAGGACGGGCCCCACACUGGCCGUGAAGAGGUACUUCCAGGGCAUCCAUGUCUACCUGAAAGAGAACGAACACAGUGACUGGGGCUGGGAAACUGUCAGAGUGGAAAUCAUGAGGCGCUUU